rnacentral:lncRNA from 1 species
GCCGAUUUUUUCUUUCAUUUGCGCCGAUUUUUGUUUUCAUUUGCGCCGAUUUUUUUUACAGGUAAAUUACAGGUUAAUUACAGGUGGAUAGACAUAAGAAUAUGUGGUAUGAGUGCAAAUGAGACAACUUUCCAUCCAAGAUUUUUUUUCAAGAUUUUAUUCAGUCAUGUUAUUUUUCAUUUAACAUUAUAGAACUCUUCCGUUAGCCAGUUGUACAAUAUAUUCACAUACUUUAGAAUCAAAACG